rnacentral:rRNA from 1 species
UACGGAGGGGGCUAGCGUUGUUCGGAAUUACUGGGCGUAAAGCGCACGUAGGCGGCUUUGUAAGUUAGAGGUGAAAGCCCAGGGCUCAACCCUGGAAUUGCCUUUAAGACUGCAUCGCUUGAAUCAUGGAGAGGUGAGUGGAAUUCCGAGUGUAGAGGUGAAAUUCGUAGAUAUUCGGAAGAACACCAGUGGCGAAGGCGACUCACUGGACAUGUACUGACGCUGAGGUGCGAAAGCGUGGGGAGCAAACAGG